rnacentral:rRNA from 1 species
CACGUAGGGUGCAGGCGUUAAUCGGAAUUACUGGGCGUAAAGCGUGCGCAGGCGGUUUGCUAAGACAGGUGUGAAAUCCCCGGGCUUAACCUGGGAACUGCGCUUGUAACUGGCAAGCUAGAGUGUGGCAGAGGGGGGUGGAAUUCCACGUGUAGCAGUGAAAUGCGUAGAGAUGUGGAGGAACACCGAUGGCGAAGGCAGCCCCCUGGGCUAACACUGACGCUCAUGCACGAAAGCGUGGGGAGCAAACAGG